AUUGAACGCUGGCGGCAGGCCUAACACAUGCAAGUCGAACGAGUGGCGGAAGUGUGAGUAAUGUCUGGGAAUCGGCCUGAUGGAGGGGGUUAACUACUGGAAACGGUAGCUACUACCGCCUACCAUCGGAUGUGCCGAGGUGGGAUUAGCUAGUAGGUGGGGUAAAGGCUUACCUAGGCGACGAUCCCUAGCUGGUCUGAGAGGAUGACCAGCCACACUGGAACUGAGACACGGUCCAGACUCCUACGGGAGGCAGCAGUGGGGAAUAUUGCACAAUGGGCGCAAGCCUGAUGCAGCCAUGCCGCGUGUGUGAAGAAGGCCUUCGGGUUGUAAAGUACUUUAAGCGGGGAGGCGUUACCAGCAGAAGAAGCACCGGCUAACUCCGUGCCAGCAGCCGCGGUAAUAC
rnacentral:rRNA from 1 species